AACAAACGCUGGCGGCGUGCCUAACACAUGCAAGUCGAACGCGAAAGGGACUUCGGUCCUGAGUAAAGUGGCGCACGGGUGAGUAACGCGUGGGUAAUCUGCCCCUCAGUUGGGAAUAACCCAUCGAAAGGUGGGCUAAUACCGAAUAAUGCUGUAUCGCCUCGGUGAUUCAGCCAAAGACGGCCUCUGCUUGCAUGCUGUCGCUGAGAGAUGAGCCCGCGUACCAUUAGCUUGUUGGUGGGGUAAUGGCCUACCAAGGCGACGAUGGUUAGCUGAUCUGAGAGGAUGAUCAGCCACACUGGAACUGAGACACGGUCCAGACUCCUACGGGAGGCAGCAGUGGGGAAUUUUGGACAAUGGGCGAAAGCCUGAUCCAGCAAUACCGCGUGCAGGACGAAGGCCUUCGGUUGUAAACUGCUUUGUACGGAACGAAACGGUUACAGAUUAAUACUACUGAACUAAUGACGGUACCGUAAGAAUAAGACACCGGCUAACUACG
rnacentral:rRNA from 1 species